UGCAGUCGGACGGGAUCCAUCGGAGAGCUUGCUCGAAGAUGGUGAGAGUGGCGCACGGGUGCGUAACGCGUGAGCAACCUACCUCUAUCAGGGGGAUAGCCUCUCGAAAGAGAGAUUAACACCGCAUAACAUCAACAGUUCGCAUGUUCGGUUGAUUAAAUAUUUAUAGGAUAGAGAUGGGCUCGCGUGACAUUAUCUAGUUGGUAGGGUAACGGCCUACCAAGGCGACGAUGUCUAGGGGCUCUGAGAGGAGAAUCCCCCACACUGGUACUGAGACACGGACCAGACUCCUACGGGAGGCAGCAGUAAGGAAUAUUGGUCAAUGGGCGGAAGCCUGAACCAGCCAUGCCGCGUGCAGGAUGACUGCCCUAUGGGUUGUAAACUGCUUUUGUCCAGGAAUAAACCUAAAUACGUGUAUUUAGCUGAAUGUACUGGAAGAAUAAGGAUCGGCUAACUCCGUGCCAGCAGCCGCGGUAAUACGGAGGAUCCGAGCGUUAUCCGGAUUUAUUGGGUUUAAAGGGUGCGUAGGCGGCCUAUUAAGUCAGGGGUGAAAUACGGUGGCUCAACCAUCGCAGUGCCUUUGAUACUGAUGGGCUUGAAUCCAUUUGAAGUGGGCGGAAUAAUACAAGUAGCGGUGAAAUGCAUAGAUAUGUCUUAGAACUCCGAUUGCGAAGGCAGCUCACUAAGCUGGUAUUGACGCUGAUGCACGAAAGCGUGGGGAUCGAACAGGAUUAUAUACCCUGGUAGUCCACGCCCUAAACGAUGAUAACUCGAUGUUGGCGAUAGACAGCCAGCGUCCCAGCGAAAGCGUUAAGUUAUCCACCUGGGGAGUACGCCCGCAAGGGUGAAACUCAAAGGAAUUGACGGGGGCCCGCACAA
rnacentral:rRNA from 1 species